rnacentral:tRNA from 1 species
GUGAUAAUAAUUUAGAAAAAUAAUGAUUUAGAAGAUUAUAAAACAUAUUUAAAACUAAAUCAAUUAGUUUCAACGAACCCUUCUUUUAAUAUAUAAUUAUAAUAUUAAUAUAUAAUUAUAAUAAUAAUAUAUAUUAAAAAAUAAAUUUAUUUUUAUUAUU